ACUCAAAGGAAUAGACGGGGGCCCGCACAAGCGGCGGAGCAUGUUGCUUAAUUCGACGCAACGCGAAGAACCUUACCAAGGCUUGACAUGCAGGGAAAAGCCGUGGAGACACGGUGUCCGUAAGGGUCCUGCACAGGUGGUGCAUGGCUGUCGUCAGCUCGUGUCGUGAGAUGUUGGGUUAAGUCCCGCAACGAGCGCAACCCUUAUCCUAUGUUGCCAGCGGAUAAUGCCGGGGACUCAUGGGAGACUGCCGGGGUCAACUCGGAGGAAGGUGGGGAUGAGGUCAAGUCAUCAUGCCCCUUAUGUCUUGGGCUGCAAACAUGCUACAAUGGCCGGUACAGAGGGCUGCGAGACCGUAAGGUGGAGCGAAUCUCAAAAAGCCGGUCUCAGUUCGGAUUGGGGUCUGCAACUCGACCCCAUGAAGUCGGAGUCGCUAGUAAUCGCGAAUCAGCAACGUCGCGGUGAAUACGUUCCCGGGCCUUGUACACACCGCCCGU
rnacentral:rRNA from 1 species